AUUACUCCCACCUGGUCAUGUGACAAUUCAUCCAAUAGCCAUUUGCAGCACACUUGGUGGAAGAGAAUCUGCCACUACCUGGUGUCAGGUGGGGGAGGUGGGGACAAACCAUUUUCCAAGAUCAAGCGAUUGUUCUCUUGAAGCCAAACUAAACUUUAGGCGAGGGACAAAAUUCAGAUUUAUUAAAUUUAGCUGAUAGUACCCUAAUCAAGGGAGGUGGAUUCUAGUAUUUAAUGGUCAGCAUCAGUGGGAACACCGGUCUACACAACAUGCUUUAGUCACUUUACCCUCAGUUGCUUUAAUUAUGCUACAUUUGGUCCUAAACAAGUUCCAGAUCAGCCUCAAUUAUCCCUCUGAGCCAAGAUGCAGGAGAAACACCUGAGAUGCUCCAGCAAGUUUUAAACUACAGCAGCCAGAUUUAUUGAAACAUUGCUUCAAGAUCCUUUAAAGAAAACCAGCUGUUUAAAGUCAGACUAAACCAGUUUAAAUCAUCAAUGGAGUUUAAGGACACAAACUCAAAUUCAUGGUUUACUUUAGGUUUAUUAGAGGUUACUUCGUAGUUUCUUGGAGGUUCUGCUGAUCAGUUCCACCUGCAGAAACAAAGAAACACAGCAGUUAGUCCCUGAACCAGCAGCUUCUUCUACACUCCAUGUUCCAGCUGCUUCUUACCUCCUUAGACCUUGGUUCCAGUUCCUGUUCCAGGUCCUUGGCUGGGAUCUCCUGGGUUCACCGGAGAGUAAAACGGGCCAAAGUCAUCUGGGGAGUAUUUAGAGUGGGAGAGGAGUUCUCUGGCUCGCUGGUAGCCGUUACUGGACUGGACGAUGUAGGACGUAGGACCACGAACAACCAAUGGGAAGGGGUCGGUGGGAAUGUUAUCAGGGAUCCAGACUGAGGGGUCUGGGAGACGGACAAACCUUGGUCUCAAGUCCUUGGCUGGGAUCUCCUGGGUUCACUGGAGAGAAAAACGGGCCAAAGUCAUCUGGGGAGUAUUUAGAGUGGGAGAGGAGUUCUCUGGCUCGCUGGUAGCCGUUACUGGACUGGACGAUGUAGGACGUAGGACCACGAACAACCAAUGGGAAGGGGUCUGUGGGAAUGUUAUCAGGGAUCCAGACUGAGGGGUCUGGGAGACGGACAAACCUUGGUCUCAAGUCAUUUAUAUCGUAGGAGAACCCCUGUGGGUAGUUAAUCAAAGGAGUAAAUCCUGCAGAUCCAAAGGGCAAAGAACUGCUGAAGAAACCAGAGCCUCCUGAACCACCAGAUCCCCCAGAGCCUCCAGAACCACCAAAUCCCCCAGAACCACCAGAGCCAGCUCCUCCUCCAGUUCCUCCACCAGCUCCUCCAGAACCUGUUUGACCUGAAUCCAGACACAAACCAACAUGUUCACGGCUCUGAUCCACUCAUGUGGACACCAGCAGCUAAAUAAAUCCACAUCCAGCUGCUGGAGCUGCCUUCAGACACGUUGAACUUCAUUUAAAGCUGCUUCAGGUCAACAUGUCUGCAGACUCACCUUUACUUAGAAAAGGGUAACAAGCUCCAGAGCUGAGGAGCAGGAAGCAGAUCCAGGAGACCCUGUGGAGAGCAGAAAGCAGCCUGUAAACAGCAGCACAUGGAAGCCCACCUGCAGCAUGAAGCGCAGCAGCUCACCUGAGAACAGAUUCCAGCAGCAUGUCCAGCUGUGAGAAGAAGCCGAGGCCACAGAGUUCAGCUCCAGCAGCCUCCUCACUGCUGAUCAACCUGCUGGAGCUGAACUCUGUGGCCUCGGCUUCUUCUCACAGCUGGACAUGCUGCUGGAAUCUGUUCUCAGGGUCUUCUGGAUCUGCUUCCUGCUCCUCAGCUCUGGAGCUUGUUACCCUUUUCUAAUUAAAGGUCAAACAGGUUCUGGAGGAGCUGGUGGAGGAACUGGAGGAGCUGGUGGAGGAGCUGGUGCUGGUGGUUCUGGGGGAUCUGGUGGUUCUGGAGGAUCUGGUGGUUCAGGAGGCUCUGGUUUCUUCAGCAGUUCUUUGCCCUUUGGAUCUGCAGGAUUUACUCCUUUGAUUAACUACCCACAGGGGUUCUCCUACGAUAUAAAUGACUUGAGACCAAGGUUUGUCCGUCUCCCAGACCCCUCAGUCUGGAUCCCUGAUAACAUUCCCACCGACCCCUUCCCAUUGGUUGUUCGUGGUCCUACGUCCUACAUCGUCCAGUCUAGUAACGGCUACCAGCGAGCCAGAGAACUCCUCUCCCACUCUAAAUACUCCCCAGAUGACUUUGGCCCGUUUUUCUCUCCGGUGAACCCAGGAGAUCCCAGCCAAGGACCUGGACCUGGAACCGGAACCAAGGUCUAAGGAGGUGGAACUGAUCAGCAGAACCUCCAAGAAACUACGACGUAACCUUUAAUAAACCUUAAGUAAACAUGAAUCUGAGUAUCUGUGCUUGACUUUAACGCCAUUGAUUUAAACUGGUUUAGUUUGACUUUAAACAGCUGGUUUUCUUAAACUAUCAAGCAGCCGUUCCAAUAAUUCUGGCUGCUGUAGUUUAAAGUCUCUCAGGUGUUUCUCCUGCAUCUUAUCAGCUCAGAGGUAAGAAAAUGGAGGAUGACCUGGAACAAAUGACACCGUGUCUGGGACCAAAUGCAGCUAUAGUGAAGAACCUGACAGUAAAGUGACUCUAAAGCGUCUUGUGUAGAUGAGUAGUUCUACUGAAUUUGUUCUGACCAUUAAACCCUAGACCUCUCCUUCCUUGGUUGGAGUUCUGUUCUCAGCUGAUCUAGUAAACUGGAAUUGUGACCAAAGUAAACCAUGAAUCUGAGUUUGUCUGACUUGAACUUUACUGAAGGUUUAAAUGAGUUUUAACUCUUUAAACGGUUGGUUUUCUUCAAUUCUCCUGAAGUUAUCUUUAACUGGCUGCUCCUGUAGUUUAACAUUGCCAUGAAGGUAUUUGAGCUACAAAUCAGGAGAACAAGGGUGAAAACUCUGCUUUUCUGGGACCAAAUAAAGCAGUUCGCUUAAAAGUGAUGUUUUUCUGUGUAGAUUAAUGGACUAAAGUGGUUUUUCC
ensembl:lncRNA